rnacentral:lncRNA from 1 species
GCUGUCGGGUUUCCGGGAGAGGGCGCUGUCCUUGCUCAGUGAUGGCCGGAGAGCUGCACCCUGCACGUCUGGGCUUGAAGACAGAAAUCCACCGUGAGGUGCUCCAAGGAACACUGAUGGGCAGUUUUGUUAAAGUGAUUGAACUCCGUGGGUACAGGAGUACGUGGAGUAAUGAAGGAUAAUGCCCUGUAACCGCUUCCUCUUAGGAAUGCUAGCUUUCACAAUUGUGCAAACGCAUAAGGAAUAAAACUGUUCUUUUGAAAUGAAGAAGAGAACCACCUAGGAGACUAUCACCCUGACCUGAGGACUUCACUAGGGAUUCAGGAAAGAAGACACAGAAAGAAAGCAAUCCUCAAGGAUCAGAAUGGCCAGCAGGAGGCCAUAUGCACCUAAACCAGAUGGAAGAAAAUGGCCCGGGGUGACCAGCUGGCUCUCUUUAUCAAGCUCAGACUCCUCAAGUCCCCGCUUGGAAGAACAGUCACAGAUUCCAUAUACAGGAAUUCAAGAUCUCCAAGCAGCAGGGAGGGGGUUCAGAAUACAUAUUCAAGUUGUUGCAGCUCAAAACACUGAUGUAGACAUGGCUGGCACCAACGUGGCUCUAGGACAUACUCCAGCUGCACUAGGGAGGUGAAGCAGGAAUUCACUGAGCCCCAAGGAAUGGGAAACUGCUUCUUUUAGUUCUCCCAGAACUCUCCACAUUGAUCCCACUCUGGCUACCAGCACUAGCUGGACAGUAAUGACUCUCAGAGGUGAACACAAUAUGCCUCAACAUGCCUUUCUGGAAGUUCACAUAGGAACUGCACAGCACCUGAAUUCCAGUUCUGCAAAGCUCUUCUCUGAAUACUGGAGGUACCAGCAUGAUCCUGGCACUGCCCCUGCCUCCGCUGUCUGUCUAAUUGUAGCUCUCUGGGGCCACUCUUGUGAGUUUCUAAGUUCUGAGGACCUUAAUCUUUUCCACUGUUUCCCAGCCCUAGACAGGUAGCUGCUACCUGAUGUUGUCAUCCCGUGUUAGCUCAGUGUUCAUUUUUACCAU